UCUAUAGCCAUACCACUUUAAAUGUGCCCAAUCUAAUCUGAUCUCAGAAGCUAAGCAGGGUUGGUACUCAGAUGGAAAACAUCCUUAGUAGCUUUUAGGA
ensembl:rRNA predicted gene, 26405